GAUUUAAUAACACAAAUCAAUUAUUUAUAGUUUCAAUUGCAUUAUCAAUCAAUCAAUUAAAUAUAAUUAGAUUCAGAUGAAAAAACUCCAAAUUAUUAAGAAAUCCUAACUAUCGUGCUUCAAAAACAACAAAGGGAUAUAUAUAUAUAUAUAUAUAUAUAUAUAUAUAUAUAUAUAUAUAUAUAUAUAUAUAUAUAUAUAUAUAUAUAUAUAUAUAUAUAUAUAUAUAUAUAUAUNN
rnacentral:lncRNA from 1 species